rnacentral:rRNA from 1 species
AUUGAACGCUGGCGGCAUGCCUUACACAUGCAAGUCGAACGGCAGCAUAGGAGCUUGCUCCUGAUGGCGAGUGGCGAACGGGUGAGUAAUAUACCGGAACGUGCCCUAGAGUGGGGGAUAACUAGUCGAAAGACUAGCUAAUACCGCAUACGAUCUACGGAUGAAAGUGGGGGAUCGCAAGACCUCAUGCUCCUGGAGCGGCCGAUAUCUGAUUAGCUAGUUGGUGGGGUAAAAGCCUACCAAGGCAACGAUCAGUAGCUGGUCUGAGAGGACGACCAGCCACACUGGGACUGAGACACGGCCCAGACUCCUACGGGAGGCAGCAGUGGGGAAUUUAGGACAAUGGGGGCAACCCUGAUCCAGCAAUGCCGCGUGAGUGAAGAAGGCCUUCGGGUUGUAAAGCUCUUUUGUCAGGGAAGAAACGGUAGUAGCGAAUAACUACUACUAAUGACGGUACCUGAAGAAUAAGCACCGGCUAACUACGUGCCAGCCGCCGCGGUAA